GUAAUUUCAGGAGAAAUCAUGCAUGGUUGUUUGAAUAGGGUUGAGAGAAACUGUUAUAUACUUUGCGGAGUUGUGAUAAAUGCAUACAGUCAUUCUUCACUUUUAUGAAAGACUUCAGCUGCUGGUAAUUCUGUGUGACCUCACAGGGCACAGGAGAGAUUCUGGGUCUCUCAAGGUCUGCAUGGGUCCACAAGGUGUGACCAGCAUCACUUCAGGACUUUGUCACUUGUCUCCUGUGGCCUCACGGCUAAGUCAUG
rnacentral:lncRNA from 1 species